ACCACAAAAGGGGAUGGGAGUUUUUUAAUUCCAUUUAUACUUCUGGAGGGACAAACAUCUCUAACUUCCUUUUUUAAAGCAAGGAUGUUGCAAAAACAAGGUACUUUUAGAGGUUUAUUAGACAUUUUGAAAGCUGAAGUAAUUAUUUGGGCCCCAUACUCUCAUAUUAUUUAAUAAAUUAGUUAAUAUCUCCCCGAGUACAUUUAAACCGUACCAUUAGGAGGCCUUGCACUUCCAAAGUUACAUCAAGAUCCAUAUUACAUGUAACACUCUGCCCAUGUGAUAUAAGAGCUGUACGCUUCCUGAGUGAAACGCUGUGCGAAUUAUAUCUCAAUAAAGUUGUUAAUAUGUCAGGAAUGAAGUACUGACACACUAGAACACGGACGAACCUUGGAAAUAUGAUGCUCAGUGAAAGAAGCCAGACACCAAAGGCCACAUAUUCUGAUUGUUUUUAUAUGAAAUGUCCACAAUAAGCAUUUCUAUCUCUAAAUAAAUCAAUCAGUGGUUGCCAGAGACGGGUGGGAGGGAGGUGUGGGAAGCAACUGCUGAUGGGUCCAGGGCUGCUUUCUAGGGUGAGAAUCCUAAAACCUGCUUUCAAGGGGUGCGUUUUAUGUUUGUGAUUAUAUUUCCAUAAAGCUUACCAGAAAAGAAGACGUGGUGCCUAGGAAACCGGUCACCUGGGACUCUGAACACUGCUCUCAGGAAGAACACCCUUUGGGGCCGAGGGAGAUGCUUCGCCACUUCCCUACGUCCUCAAACAAAACACAGCUGUGCCUGAUGCUGGGACUGUGCCUGAAGCUGGGACUGUGGCCGUGACCACGGCCGGAGGUGGACCUGGCUUUGCAGAAGUGCUGGGUUCAGUAAGAACAGAGAUGACUAUUCAACAUGUCAGACCUUCAGCCCAGAGCAUAAACGCCUGAAUAACGAAGCACAGGUUCCUUGCAGUGCUGAGUGUCAACUUCCUUGCUCCCCUUUCUGUGCCUUUGUUUUUCCAGAGGUCCUCACGGGUAGCACAGUAUUCGUGACAGUUACACGUGGAGACACAAAUAUUUUGCCACAUUAAGCAAUUCACAUUACUUUCCAGUUUGCAGAUGUGUGGAUCGAGAAGUCUGAUGUUGAUUCUUCAUGUUGUUCACAUCGUUCGUCUCAUGACAUAUUUAACAGUUACGAUGACAGUACACGUGAUGGUCGUGUAUGUGAUGAAACUGUCUUUCCAUAUCAUUCAAUGUAAUCUCAGUAAUGUUUGAACAGGAUAAGUAAAUUUCGUGAUUUAUUUUAAACUCUGUCUCGGCAGAGUAAAGCUUUCUCAAAGUGAAAUCAGCUACACUGACUCGAGAGAUGUUCUCACAGGGUAUCAUCGUCAGGAAAGCACCAACAACGUGAAAUUUUGUUUAUAACAGCACAAUUUAUGAUUAAGAAAACUAGAUAUUUUUUGGAAUAUCUAAUAAUUUAGGAACCAGAUAGGUCAUUAUUUUGUUAUCCAUUGCCAACUCAGUUGGACACCCAGGCAUGAGCAACAAUGAUGAAAUUUAGUCAUAUUUUAUAUUUUGCCAACUUUCAGUCAUUUAAAAACCAUAACUUUAUAUGUUUUCCAUUCUCGCAGUUAUGAAGGUAUUUUGUCAAAGUAGGACAAUAACGAUAUGCAACCUUUAAAUAUUUCUCCAGACUGCCUGUGGCUGUCCCACAAGCUGUCCUGUCCUGGAUGCAAUGAGGGACGGAAGAACCAACUUGCCUGGCAAGGCAGUUGUGAGCCUCACACAAGAUCAUGGAUCGAUACAGGCUACACGUACUCUCUCAGUGCAGUUGUCAUUAAGUGCCAUCGUGCCUCACCUAACAGAACGCGCAGCACAUUGUCCUAGAAGCUGCCUGCCUCUGGCUCCAUCAGAUUGAAUGUAACGGUAGGUCAUCCCUGGUGGAGGCCGGCUAAUUAUUUAAGUAGCAGGAAACCAGGAUGGCAGGAUGGCAGGAUGGCAGGAUUACCAGCAGACCCUGAAGGACGUCCGUGGUGUCCCCGGUUCCUCACGACUCUUUGGGGUUUCUCUGGGAUGAUAAACGCCUCCGCUAUUUGUGUAUCAUUUUUGCAUUAUUGGCAAUGCCGUCUGCCUCGCCCAAAGCUACAAGUCAUCCAUGACCCGUCGUCCUCUUCCCCAAGACAAUCAUCACCGAGGCCUCAGCGGCCCCACCUCCUCCCCCUCACCCCGGACUCACUGACGCACACGGUGGGAACCGGGCCCAGCUCAGUCACUCAUCCUCCACCUUCUGCCGACACCAGCUCUCCCACAACCCCCACCUGCCACGCGGAAAUUGCUCCCAAAUUUUUAUCCAGUUUAAACAAUUUUAGCUACUAAAUUUUGACUUUUUUCCUAGUAAGAGUAUUUUACAAUAAACUAAUAUUUACUAUCACCAUCCGUUCAGAAAGAAAAGGCAUUCUAACAGGAGUGGGGGGCGUCACAUAGUCACUUACAAUCUCUCAGCAGUUCCUAAGAUGAUGUCGGGGUAGCCUUAUGAACGACAUGACACCCGGUCCACACAUUUCUUUGCAAAGACCAGCAUUUGAGAAGUAGCUCUGCUUGGACCACCCGGGCACCACAAUGGCUCUGUUCUUCAUGCAUUCAUUUAUUCACUUCAUUCAUGCAUUCACUCAUAAACAUGUCAAGCAUCGAGCACGUGCUAGGUGGUACGAGGAUGAUUCUUCGACCUCGUGAUUCAUUCGGCGAAUGUUUCUGAGCACCUGCUAUGCUGCAUUCUGAAGAGACUGGGACCAAAAGCUAAAUCUCCAUCACGCCACACGGCUACCAUUUCUUUUUCGUGGGGAGAAUAUCUAAGAUCUACUCUCAGUGGCUUGCUGGCUGUGAUCACAAUGCUGUGUAUGAAGUCCUCGGAACUUACUCACUUUUGAGAUUCAGGAGUCUCUUUCUCAUCCUGCUAUGAAUGAAUAUAUACAGUUUUUCUUCUCUUUCUUCAUUAUGAUACCAGAUAAAUUUUUUUUUUUAAUUUCAGAAAAUUAAGGUUACGAGCAAGGUAAACUUUUCUACACCUGUCAUUUGAAACAGUUUAAGGCAUAACAAACAUUAUUAGACAUUCCUUACUGGACAGAGAUCAAAUGGGCUCACUAACUUUUUAAAAAUUUCCCUUAAAAAUAUUCUAUUUCUUUACCAAUACACCUAUCCUGUGGCUGGUUACACGCCUUGUCCACCUCCCCCAGCAGCAACACGGGUGACAGCAAUGUGCUUCACCUUUUCGAAACUAAGAUAUUCCAUGUGAAUUCUCUACUUGCCGUUUCAGCAUAUUCACUUGUAAACAGUACCACUCUGAGGACAUAAAAGGCAAUAAGUAAUGAUUUAUCCCCUAGCACAAAGCCAACUUAAUUGUAAGAGUCUUGGACAUGAACGUUCCAAAGCUCCAAGCUCAUAAUGCAAAACCCACAGAUUCCAAUAAAGAAAGCACGUGCCAAGGGAACCAAAGGCCACAUGCCAUGGAAGAGCUGGCAGGCGGACUUCAGGUCCUCAAUUUCAACAGCUGCUGAAAGCUCUGGUCACUCAGCCAACAGUUAUCACGCGCUCGCUCCACGCCAGCUCUCGCUUAGGUGUUUCGAGACUUUGGGAGGCUCUCUGAGCUGCCGUUUCAAGGUACAAUGAGGCAAAGGCUACUUGUUGCUGGCUCGCUGCUCCUCCGGGUUUGCUUCGCCCAGGGUCCCCGGCCACAGGAUCCCUGAGCGAAAGGGUCCCUCGAAACUGACACGAGGGUCCCCACGAACAGCUCUAUGUCAACGGAAGCACGCGCGUUUUCUCGGUCUUGCCGUCUCCUCUACUGGUUUUGUCAUUCCAGAAGGGAGUCCGGAAAUCGAUCCCACAGCAGAGGCAGCACCUGUUUCCAGUAACGGGGCCACCAGGACGGACACACGGGUCACCCCCAGGAGCAACCUGCCACCUGCAGUCUCCAGGCAGAACUGUCCUGACGACCCUCCUCUCCUUUCCCUGCGAGAACUCAAAGCAUUCACACCCUCGUUUUAGAGAGGAUGCGACUCAAGCUCCCAAGGGGUGGGGACCCCAGUGCUCAGGGGACUUUGAAAAGCAUCGAAUCCCGGGCCUCGUUUUAGCCCAAUUCACCCAGUCUUCUGGGCGGGGGGCUAAGGACAGAGAAUUUCAGACAACCUCCCCUAAGUUAGUUCUUCCAACACGACAAGCCAGGAAUGGCCCAGGAACCAUCUCUGAGGUAGGUCACAGGGUGGAGCAGGGAGAUGAAGGGAGGAGGCUGACGAGACUAGGUAACACGUAAGGUCCCUGAAUUUCAGACAAUGAUUUUUAAUGUUCAGGGGCACGUGAGGUCAGAAGCAUCCCUAAAAAACCCACACGAAGGAAAGGUCAGAAUUAUUAGCUCAGACGGGCUCCGGAGCUCCGGCCACAAGGAGAAAAACAACAUGGUCAUUACAGGCAGUUAAGAGGUCAUUGUGGAUUGUGGGCAGGGGCGGGGGUGGAAACAACUUACCCCUGAGGACAAAUUCAUUAACAGUGGAUCACUUGUGCGGACUGGAUUUGCAAUCAAGAUUGGACUCAUCAGCUGACCCCGAGCUGGUACUUGAGCCGCGGAGGGCUGAGAAUCCUCGGGCUAGAGGACGACCCGAGUUUGAUUUCAUUCACUUCCCCUGACAAAUACUCACGUCCUGCAUAAGUUCCCCUAAGCAGAGCUACCGUGGCUGUUCUCAGAUUCAUUUUAGGAUUAAAAAAAAAAAAAUCAUUAAAAAGCUGCAGA